GUCGUGGUGGUCGAGUGGUAAAGCACUUGACUUCUGAACAUUAGGGUCCCAGGUUCAAAUCCUGGUGAAGACU
rnacentral:tRNA from 1 species